ACUGUGCUGAUGGCUGAGUGGUUAAGGUAUUGGAGUUGAAAUCCAAUGGGGUUCCCCUGUGCAGGUUCAAGUCCUGCUUACAGUG